GAUGAACGCUGGCGGCGUGCCUAAUACAUGCAAGUCGAGCGAAUGGAUUAAGAGCUUGCUCUUAUGAAGUUAGCGGCGGACGGGUGAGUAACACGUGGGUAACCUGCCCAUAAGACUGGGAUAACUCCGGGAAACCGGGGCUAAUACCGGAUAAUAUUUUGAACUGCAUGGUUCAAAAUUGAAAUGCGGCUUCGGCUGUCACUUAUGGAUGGACCCGCGUCGCAUUAGCUAGUUGGUGAGGUAAAGGCUCACCAAGGCAACGAUGCGUAGCCGACCUGAGAGGGUGAUCGGCCACACUGGGACUGAGACACGGCCCAGACUCCUACGGGAGGCAGCAGUAGGGAAUCUUCCGCAAUGGACGAAAGUCUGACGGAGCAACGCCGCGUGAGUGAUGAAGGCUUUCGGGUCGUAAAACUCUGUUGUUAGGGAAGAACAAGUGCUAGUUGAAUAAGCUGGCACCUUGACGGUACCUAACCAGAAAGCCACGGCUAACUACGUGCCAGCAGCCGCCGUAA
rnacentral:rRNA from 1 species